UUAACUUAUUUGUAUUUUCACUCAGACUUCAAUCUUCAGACAGAGUUCGAGGUGUCUUCGGCGGGCGCGGGCCAGAGGGCAGAAGCCCCCCGGCGGCCGUGAGGCGGGCCCGCCGAAGCAACAAGGUACGAUAAACACGGGUGGGAGGUUGGACCCAGAGGGCCCUCACUCGGUAAUGAUCCUUCCGCAGGUUCACCUACGGAAA
rnacentral:misc_RNA from 1 species